rnacentral:rRNA from 1 species
UAGACCGCCUGGGGAGUACGGCCGCAAGGUUAAAACUCAAAUGAAUUGACGGGGGCCCGCACAAGCGGUGGAGCAUGUGGUUUAAUUCGAUGCAACGCGAAGAACCUUACCUGGUCUUGACAUCCACAGAACUUUCCAGAGAUGGACUGGUGCCUUCGGGAACUGUGAGACAGGUGCUGCAUGGCUGUCGUCAGCUCGUGUUGUGAAAUGUUGGGUUAAGUCCCGCAACGAGCGCAACCCUUAUCCUUUGUUGCCAGCGGUUAGGCCGGGAACUCAAAGGAGACUGCCAGUGAUAAACUGGAGGAAGGUGGGGAUGACGUCAAGUCAUCAUGGCCCUUACGACCAGGGCUACACACGUGCUACAAUGGCGCAUACAAAGAGAAGCGACCUCGCGAGAGCAAGCGGACCUCAUAAAGUGCGUCGUAGUCCGGAUUGGAGUCUGCAACUCGACUCCAUGAAGUCGGAAUCGCUAGUAAUCGUGGAUCAGAAUGCCACGGUGAAUACGUUCCCGGGCCUUGUACACACCGCCCGUCACACCAUGGGAGUGGGUUGCAAAAGAAGUAGGUAGCUUAACCUUCGGGAGGGCGCUUACCACUUUGUGAUUCAUGACUGGGGUGAAGUCGUAACAAGGUAACCGUAGGGGAACCUGCGGUUGGAUCACCUCCUUA